rfam:Triticum aestivum genome assembly, contig: Triticum_aestivum_CS42_TGACv1_scaffold_515208_6BS
CCAUUACUCCCUCCGUUCGGAAUUACUUGUCGCAAAAAUGGAUGUAUCUAGACUUACUUUAGUUCUAGAUACAUCUACUUUGAAGACAAGUAAUUCCGAACGGAGGGAGUACCUC